rnacentral:rRNA from 1 species
AUAUCAAUAAGCGGAGGAAAAGAAACCAACAGGGAUUGCCCUAGUAACGGCGAGUGAAGCGGCAACAGCUCAAAUUUGAAAUCUGGCCUCGGCCCGAGUUGUAAUUUGUAGAGGAUGCUUUUGGUGCGGCGCCUUCUGAGUUCCUGGAACGGGACGCCAUAGAGGGUGAGAGCCCCGUAUGAGUCGGAUGCCAAGCUCGUCGU